AACGAACGCUGGCGGCGUGCCUAACACAUGCAAGUCGAACGUGAAAGUACUUCGGUAUGAGUAAAGUGGCGCACGGGUGAGUAACACGUAGGUGACCUGCCUUUUAAUGGGGAAUAACCAGAUGAAAAUUUGGCUAAUGCCGCAUACGAAGCACAAAUAUAAUAGUAGUGCUUGAAAGAAUGCCUCUGUAUAUGCAUUCGUUAAAAGAUGGGCCUGCGGAACAUUAGCUAGUUGGUGGGGUAAAGGCCUACCAAGGCAACGAUGUUUAUCCGGUCUGAGAGGAUGAUCGGACACACUGGAACUGAGACACGGUCCAGACUCCUACGGGAGGCAGCAGUGGGGAAUAUUGCGCAAUGGGGGAAACCCUGACGCAGCAACGCCGCGUGAGUGAGGAAGGACUUCGGUCUGUAAAGCUCUGUUAAUGAGGAGAAAUGGUAGUUGGUCUAAUAGGCCGAUUAUUUGAUGGUACUCAUAGAGGAAGCACCGGCUAACUUCGUGCCAGCCGCCGCGGUAA
rnacentral:rRNA from 1 species